UGGUGCAUGGAGCCUGCUUCUCCCUCUGCCUAUGUCUCUGCCUCUCUCUCUCUCUCUGUGUGUGUGACUAUCAUAAAUAAAUAAAAAUUUAAAAAAAAAAUAAUAAUAAUGACCCAAUGUGGACUAACCCAUACCUUGAAACACUGCCUUUUAGGAUGCAGGAGGAUUGGAGUGAGGAUGCAUCCUGUCCAGGGGAAGACCGAAAACUUCCUGAGAUUGGGGUGGCAAAAUGACCAGUCAUUUUGGCAUCUGUGACUGUCCUCUCUCCCCUCUCCCCGCAGUUCUACAGUCUUCCUCAGGUCUCCCACCUGCCUCUGCAGUGAAAUGGGGACAGGAUACCUCCUGGCUGAAAUUGGCCUCCAAGCUUGGCUGCAAUUCUGCCUACCUCCUUCCUCAUUUAUGGGAGACAUUGCUCAGGGAUUCUGGCCCUCCCUGCCAAGCCUUCUAGGCAACCUGGCAAUCUGGCCUCAGAGACGAUGGUGAGCAGAUGAAAGCUGCCUGCUAUAUCCCAGAUAGAUCAAGACCCAGUUCUGCGAGAGCCUUUGGUCCAGAAAAAGGCACCAGGAAGAGACUCUCCACCCACCAUUCCAGAUUUUAUUUAUUCAUGAGAGACACAGGCAGAGGGAGAAGCAGACCCCAUACAGGGAGCCUGAUGAGGGACUCGAUCCCGGAACUCCAGGAUCACACCUGGGCAGAAGGCAGGUACUAAACCGCUGAGCCACCCGGGGCUGCCCUCCGGGUUGGGUUUGCAGCGAGCACCUAGAGGGAUGAGAGAGUGGCUCCCUGUGGGACAAAGCAGGCUUGCCUGCUUCUUACUAUAAAGGGCCAGGUCUCCAGAGCUCAUGUCCUGCUCCUGUGGUACAACCCAUUGCCCCCAUGGGGCAGAGGGAACCAACCUGCUGAUGCUUAAGCUGCUUGCUGGGAGUAAGAAAGCUCUGCCUCUGACCCAGGAAUCUCAAGGCCUCUGCCAGCAUUUUGGAAACAGUUACCAGCUAACUUGUUAACUUGCAAAUAGAGUGAAAUAAAAUCCCAGACACAACAGUCAGUUGGGUGGUGGCCAAGUUUGGCUUUCUGUAGCCGGGCUGUCAGCCCCUUAGCAUGCCCCCAAAGGGGGGCCCAUCAAGAAGUUCUGAUCAUUAGUGUUCCAGAAUGCCCAGGGCCAGUGCCACACUUCAGUCUUGGGACAGAGGAAACUGAGUCCCUACGUACUGUGCACUUAAAGUCAUCCAUCUCCUGGGACAUGGUUAAGUUCAAAGAAAACGUUUUCGUAUAGGGAUUAUGAUGUUUAUAGGACCAGGGUGCUCUGUUCAGGUAAACUUCAGGACAGAGAUGAAAGUAGGCCUUGCAGCAGUGCUUUUUCCUCAUGUGUAGGGGUGCAGGAUGCCCGUGGAAGGCUGUGCCCCAGCCACCCACUCCUUGGUCCUACCCCAUCUUGGCUUCCCUAGCCACUGAAGUUGGCAUCCAGCAAUCUCCUCCUAAAUUGCAGAGAUUAAGUAAAAACUUCAGGGUUGGAGUGACCCUCCAAAGAAUGUCUGCUGUGAAACAUUAGAGAAAGAGAAAGCCAGUCUAGUAGUGAAUGGCAGUAUUGCAGGCCAGUUGGGAACACAAGUCCCUUCUUCCUACAAAGAAGGCGUUGCUUAGGACCAAGUCAAUGAGGAAGCAAGCAGAGGAGGGCAGAGGCAUUACCAGUCAGGGGCAGGCAGGGCCUGGGGAGGGACAGAAGCUCUUGUCCCUGCGCCUGGUGGCACCUAGAUGAGUACUGAACAGCAGGGGGUGUUUUCUGAAGAGCAGAAGGCUGGACAUACUUAGGCCCUCACACCAUCUUCUCAUUAAGCAUCUUGGGUUCACCUUCUCAGCUCUAAUCUGGCCUCCAUUUGUUUUUUGUU